GACGUAGGGCGCGAGCGUUGUCCGGAUUUAUUGGGCGUAAAGAGCUCGUAGGCGGCUUGUUGCGUCGACCGUGAAAACCCGGGGCUUAACUUCGGGCUUGCGAUCGAUACGGGCAGGCUAGAGUUCGGUAGGGGAGACUGGAAUUCCUGGCGUAGCGGUGAAAUGCGCAGAUAUCAGGAGGAACACCGGUGGCGAAGGCGGGUCUCUGGGCCGAUACUGACGCUGAGGAGCGAAAGCGUGGGGAGCGAACAGG
rnacentral:rRNA from 1 species